rnacentral:rRNA from 1 species
UACAGAGGCCCCAAGCGUUAGUCGGAAUCACUGGGCUUAAAGGGUGCGUAGGCGGGUGUGUAAGUGUCUUGUGAAAGCCCUUGGCUCAACCAAGGAACAGCAGGGCAUACUGCACAUCUCGAGGAAGGUAGAGGCGGGCAGAACGAUCGGUGGAGCGGUGGAAUGCGUAGAGAUCGAUCGGAAUGCCAAGGGUGAAGACAGCCCGCUGGGCCUUUCCUGACGCUGAGGCACGAAAGCGUGGGGAUCAAACAGG